UACGUAGGUGACAAGCGUUGUCCGGAUUUAUUGGGCGUAAAGAGCUCGUAGGCGGCUCAGUAAGUCAGGUGUGAAACCUCCAGGCUCAACCUGGAGACGCCACCUGAUACUGCUGUGGCUAGAGUCCGGUAGGGGAGCGUGGAAUUCCCGGUGUAGUGGUGGAAUGCGUAGAUAUCGGGAGGAACACCAGUGGCGAAGGCGGUUGCCUGGAGCUUUGCUGACGCUGAUGCGCGAAAGCGUGGGGAGCGAUCCGG
rnacentral:rRNA from 1 species